UAAUGAAUAAAUACAUUAAAAUAUGAAAAAAAAAAGGGACAGCCAUAUAGAUGCUGUUUAUUCAGACAUUAGUCUCAGCUAAAUUGAAUGACAUUGGGAAAAUAUGAUGUUGCUUGUUAAUAUGUCAAAGAAAACUGCUGGGUAAUAUACAGAAAUAGGAUGCCCAGUGUUGUGGCUGAGAAAGCAAAGGGUUUAAGGCCUUAAGAGGUUUUUUUUGGUUGGUUUUGUUUCUUUGUUUUUUGUUUUGUUUCUUUUCUUUUUGAUUUAUGUACUCCAAAUGUUUCUUGCCCAAGAGUCCUGAGUCUAUGAACAUGCGACUGAGUGACAGCAAUAGAUUGAGCAAUUGUCAUAGCUGGAGUUAAAUAAAUAUUCAUCUGUGAAAUGGUAAGAGGUUAUGCAUAUUUCAAGUGCCUAUAAAUAUUCUUAAAUAUAAAUUAUUUUAUUAAUGGCAUCUGUUGUCACUUUAAAUAGAAUUAAUUUUGGUAAGUGUUGAUAGCCAUCUCUUUUUAAAGACUAUUAAUUAUCUGUUUCUCUUAAUUUUGACCAAACACUCUGGUUAAGAUAUCAUGGUUUUAAUUUAAGCAAACUCUUUCUUUCUUAAAGAUUUAUUUAUUUACUUGUUUGUUUAUUUAUUUUGUAUGUAUGGAUAUACAUGUGUGUGAGUGUAUAUGCAUAUAUAUCAGCAAGUAUGCAUCUGUGAAGGUCAGAGGGGAGUGUUGUGUGAUUUCCUCUACCAAACUCUCUAUAUUCCUAUGAAGCAAAUGAUCUCUUUUUGAAUCUGGGGUUCCAGUUUUCUGAGCUAUGUUGGAAUCCAGACAAGUUGGCUAGAAAAAUUGGAAAUUUCUGAGGAACUUGAGGGGACAAUGUAAAGAUAAAUUAGGAAUCAUUAUCUAUUAUACUAUUUGGAAAGUAGAGUGAUCAUGAAUUUUUGGUUACAGAAAAAAAACACUCAUAAUUAUUAUAGAGGGAUUAUUCCCAGUAAAGGAAGAUAAAGGUUGGCACAGGAGCUUUUGAAAAAAAACCCAGGGAAGAUUUGAGAAUGAGUUGUUGCUUGGAAGUCUGAAGUCUGAGUUGGGAAGAAGGUAGUUGGGACCAUGGUGAACCUAAGCCUGCAUAGAGAGUGUUCCAUGGAGAGAGAACAAAGUAUAGGCCAAAACAGAUAUUUUGAGAAUUAAAACAUGUUCAGUGUAUAUUCUGUGUCUCUGUCUGUCUCUGUGUCUGUCUGUCUGUCUGUCUGUCUGUCUGUCUUUCUCUUUCUCUCUGUGUGCUCGUGUGUGUAUGUAUUUGAGCUGAUAGAAGUGGAAAUGCUAGAAGAUAAUGGUGGUGUGGCAAGUAUCAUAAGCCAUAUGAUUCAUAAAACUCUAAAGUAUGUUGUAAGAGUAAUGAGGAAUCAUUGAUGGACAAAAAUAAAUAAAAGGAUCAAAUUAAUUACCCUGACUACAGAAUCAGACUGCACAGAACAGCGGAAAGAGGUGGUCAGGAAACCAACUGGAAGGUAACUGUGAAGUAUAACUGAGAUGUGAUGAUACAGCUGGAGUGGCAACUAUGAAGUUGAAGAGAAGUGAAUGGCCUCAGGAGAUAUUCAGGAAUAAAACAGACUUUGUCUCUGUAACUCCUUCCACGGGUUAUUUUGUUCCCUAUUCUAAGGAGGAAUGAAGUAUCCACACAUUGGUUUUCCUUCUUCUUGAUUUCCUUGUGUUUUGCAAAUUGUAUCUUGGGUAUUCUAGGUAUCUGGUCUAAUAUCCACUUAUCAGUGAGUGCAUAGCAAGUGGCUUCUUUCGUGAUUGAGUUACCUCACUAACAAUGAUAUCCUCCAGAUACAUCCAUUUGCCCAAGAAUUUUAUAAAUUCAUUGUUUUUAAUAGCUGAGUAGUACUCCAUUGUGUAAAUGUACCACAUUUUCUGUAUUCAUUCCUCUGUUGAGGGACAUCUGGGUUCUUUCCAUGUUCUGGCUAUUAUAAAUAAGGCUGCUAUGCCCAGGGAUCCAUUCCAUAAUCAGCCACCAAACCCAGACACUAUUACAUAUGCCAGCAAGAUUUUGCUGAAAGGACCCCGAUAUAGCUGUCUUGUGUGAGACUAUGCCAGUGCCUGGCAAAUACAGAAGUGGAUGCUCACAGUCAUCUAUAGGAUGGAACACAGAGCCCCCAAUGGAGGAUCUAGAGAAACUACCCAAGGGUUCUGCAGCCCUAUAGGUGGAACAACAAUAUGAACUAACCAGUACUCCCAGAGCUCAUGUCUCUAGCUGCAUAUGUAGCAGAAGAUGGCCUAGUAGGCCAUCAUUGGGAAGAGAGGCCCUUAGGUCUUGCAAACUUUAUAUGCCCCAGUACAAGGGGAUGCCAGGGCUAAGAAGUGGGAGUGGGUGGGGAGGGUAUAGGGAACUUUUGGGGUAGCAUUUGAAAUGUAAAUAAAUAAAGUAUCUAAUAAAAAUGUAAUAAAAAAGGGAAUAAGACAGAGAAUGCUUGGCAUGAGGCAAAGCAUAGAACAACAUUGGUACCUGGUCAUUUUAACAGAUGAUGGAGUAGAGAGUGAAGAUGAGGAUGAAAUUAUCUGGGUUUUCUUUUAUUUAAGGAACCUGACUUCCUUGGAGUUCUUAGCUUCACCUUUUGAAAGUUACUUAUUUUAAGUGAGAACCUUCUCUGAGGUUCUACUUUGAGAGUAAUCAUUCAGUAUAAGGAGCAGUGUGCUUCAUGCAAAUAAAAUAGCCUAGCACUGUGGACCAGGGUUGUCUUGUAAGUCCCACCAGGUUAGAGCGGCAUCCUCCCACACAGUUUAUCACCUGAGUUGAGUAACAGGGAAGAUUCUAUUUCCCUGUCUCUGUGCUCUGAGAAGUAUCUGAUAGUGAUGAUGUUUCAAGAUUCAAGAAAAAUCUUUUUUAUCAUUGAAUAAAGCCAUAAAUGUAAAUUUACUAAAUUAAAAAAAAAUAAUGUGGGAAGGGCACAAAAGAGUCAGUAAAUAUAUCUAGAAAAAAAAAAAAGAAAGAAAAGAAAAGUGACUGUAGAAAAUGCCUAGAGAUGUGGCCAAGUGCUUGCCUAGUAUACAUGAGGCUCUGGAUUCCCUAGCACAGAACAAACAAACAAAAACACUCCAGAGAAGUGUGCUGUCAUGAAAUACAAGAUAAGCAUAAAUGUUGAGAAGGAAGAAAUAGUCCUAAGUAUAAGGCAACCAAGAGAUCAAGCAAAUAAGCACCAAAGAGUGGGUGUGGCAAUAAGCAGGAGGAGCUUCUUGAUCAUUCCGAAGUAAAUUUAGAGAUGGGGAAAAUAGCCCUAUGAUAGUAGCCUGGGAUAUCCAUGGAGAAAAAUAUUAAUACAGCUAGCAUGCAGUUCUAAUUUAUCUAUGAAGGGAAGAAUAAAAGGCACGGGCUUGUGUUACCAAGGGAGAGCUUCGCUGUGAUGAUUGUUUGAAUAGUGUGUACUUCAUACAUGAUUAAAGGGAAUCCAAUAGAAAAGGUGAAAGGCUAAGGAGAUAGAGAGGGAUGGGAAUAUUGAUCAAGAAAGGUCAAAGUGAAGGUAGAAUGUGCAGGCAUCCAUUUGGAUAUAAGGGCCUGUGGAAGGAAGACAACACCAGGGAGUUUGGGAGCAGGAAGUUUACAGAAGAUAAUAUCUACUUUCUCUUCUGUAGGGAGUGAGAUAGAUUAGAUUUCAAAGAAGAUGACAGAGCAGAAUGCAGAAAAGUCCAUAAAAGAAAAGCAAAUGGGUUCUUCUUAUUAUUUUUUCCAAUAAUCUUUACAUUUAUUUUUAGAAAUCUGUCCUUGAAACCCAAGAUCCACUGAGAACAUUGUACAAUGUCCCGUGAAAGCAAAUGUUCUUGAGUAGUAGAAGUGGCUGCAUCACAUGAUGACUUGGGGCUUAAGAAUAGACCAGCCUUGGAAACACUUUGGUUACUUAGCAAAACACAGGAGCCAAAUCUUUACAAGAGAAAAGCACCAAUGAAACCUGUGGUGGUAUUCUUGUGGCGUCUUGCAACUUCCGCUGACUUGGGCCAAUUGGCAGAGCCAUUGCUUCUGGAUUCUUCUGGAUUGAACUGCCAUUGCUGAAUCAUGGAUGGUGUUUGUGAGUGGAUUGAGCUACUGCUACUGAUUCAUAGGAACUAAAUUGCUGAUAUCCUGACCAUGAAGAUUGGAAUCACCUCCCAAAAACUAUUUCUAAACAGGUCCACAUCCUUCAUUGCCAUAUUAACCUUUUCUUUCCAUUACCUCUGGUGGGCUAGAAUGGAGAUUAAAGCAUUUAAGAACCCUUAUUAAACUAGGUUUUGAAAAAUCUAAGCAUAUAUCCAAUCUUGGAAAUAUUUCCCUCAGCAUAGGAUCUACAGAAAUCACCAAGUAAGGGAAGGCUGAGAGUCCAAAUUAACAUUAGGAUAAAUAGGAAAAAAAAUCAAACCCAAGCCCAUGACACAAAAACCAACCUUUCACUUAAAGCAGUGAUUCUCAACCUGUGGCGGUUGCAUAUUAGGUGUUUGUAUACAAUUCAUAACAGUAACAAAAUGACAGUUCUGAAGUAGCAAUGAAAUAAUUUCCUGGUUGGGGGUCAUCACAACGUAACAGUACUAAAGGAUUGGAGAAUUAGGAAGGCUGAGAGCCACUGGUAAGGAAAGGGGGUGUUUUCAGCCUUUUAUCUGUUGGACCAGUCUGCUCAGGUCAGGCACUAUACUUUGAAAGGAACACUCGAAAACUGAAAUGCUAUGCUCAGGGCUUUAACAAGAGGGUAAUUUGUAGAGGAAUCUGAAAUGCAAGCAUAUACAUGCUACAGUGCAAGCCUACAUCUGCAUGCUUCGUGUGAGUGUUGUAGCAGCGAACACAUCCCACCUGGUGCAAACAAAAACAAACAAACAAACAAACAACAACAACAACAAAAACCAAGGAGAAAAAUGAUUAUACACCUGAAAUAAAGAAGAUAAAACUCUUAAGGCUGUGGCAAAGCAAAUGUGGAAAAAUAUUUUACCAGGAAACUUUCCAGUAGCCCUGGAGUACUUAUGCUUAUGAUUAGAACAUUGAAAAGUACAAAAGACAAUUUGUCAUCACAAAAGGGGUCAUUAGGUAUUGCUCCAAGGAAAAGAUUAUACAAUGAAAAUGUUGAAAGUUUUUAUGAAGUAGAUGGAGGAAGGGAGAUAAAGGAGGGCAAUGGGGUGAAUAAUCAAAGCACAUUAUAUGCAGGUAUGAAAAUGUCACAGUGAAUUUCAUUAAAAAGAAAUAAAUGAAGAAGCAUGAAUAGAAUGAGUUACUAUGACACCCUUUUAUAAAACUGUAACUUUACUUUUGAUCUUAAUUCAGCUGAUAGAUAAGACUGAUUAGUCUGAGCUGAUAAAAGAAUCAGUGAACUGGAAGGUAUUUAUGGGAAAAUUAUUUUGAAUGUAACACAGGGAGAUAAAGACAUUGAAGAUAAGAGAUAAAAAAUCUUUUAAAGAAUUCCCAGUACUCAUCUAUUGGGAAUUGUACAAGGAAUGACCAAGGCAAUGAAGAAGUAAAAAAUAUCUAAAAUAUUGUCCAAACAUUUUCCAAAAUUACACUAGACAGUCUUCAGAUUUAACUAUUUUAUCAUCACCUAAUGACUAAAUUUGCACAAGUCCACAUAAUUUAUGUACAUACUUUUGUACAAACAUAUUUAAUUUAGGGCAAGUGUGCAGGAUUGGGAUUUCUUGAUCAUUUAUUAUAGUAUUUGCUUUUGAGACAGGGUCUCAUUGUGUGGCCCAGACCAGGCUGAUAUUUGUGAUUCUCCUCCAAAGCAGCAUGAUUACAGGUGUGCAUCACUAAACCCUACUACGCAUAUUCUUAAUUUUAUAAAGAGGGACAAGCCAUUUUGCAGAGUGACUGUAUCAUUUAUCAAAACCAUCAGCAACAUAGGAGAGUUCAGAGUUCUGUGUGUCCACCAGCAGUUGGUAUUGCUUAUUUUUAAUUUUAGCUGCUCUUACACCAUGGAGUGCAUCUAAUCCUGAUUAAAAGUCUUAUUUUCCUAAUGAUGGGGUGUUCAAUAGCCUUUUGCUAAAUUAAACUCACAUAAUAUGAAUUUUGCUCUUUCAUAGUAUAUAAUACAGUGGUUUGAAGGUGAAGGUAUAAUUAUAAAUUUUGAAGCUACCAUCACUAAUUCCAAAAUGUCUUCAUGACACUAAUAAACCGUUUUAAAAAUUAUUAACUAUUUUCCUCUCAGCUGAGCCCCUGACAAUUACUAAUUUACUUCCUGUCAUUAUGUUCUCCAAGUUUGGGCAUUUUAUUAAAGUGGAAUUAUAUAGUGGUGAGAAAUAGCGUAGAUAGUGCCAUGCAUACAACCAUGAGGACCUUUCUCUAGAUCCCUGUCCUCAGUGCUGUUUUAUGGUUUUAGGACGUACAUUUUUCAUUUCUUUCAUUACAUUUAUUACUAAGCAUUUCAUUCUUUUUAAUGACAUUUCCAAAUAGGGUUGUUAAACUUUAUUUUUGCAUUGCCUUUUGCAGAAAAAUGAUUUCAUUUUCAUCAUUUCAACUGUGUAGAAUAAUAAUUUUUGUACAUAUGUCUCAUAUUUCAAAACUUCACUGGAGUCAUGGACCCAUCAUAAUAGGCCUCUGUGUAUGCAUUUAUGUAGAUUUUUAAAUUUUCUACGUAUGCACUAUUGUGUCAUUUGCAGGUAGGAAUGGCUUUACUUCUUCCCUUUCAGCCUAGAUGCCUUCCAUUUCUUUAUCUUGAUCAUUUGUCCUAGAAACUGUGACACAGUGAUGAGUAGAAGUGGCAGAGCUAGAUACCUUUGCCUUUCUCCUGCUACAGCUUUUCUCAAUUGGGUUUGAUGCUAGUUACUGUGUUUUGUUUUAUUUUCAUAGAUGUCUUUCAUACCUAAGUGUGUGUGUGUGUCUGUGUGUGUGUACAUGCAUGUGUGCACUAAUGUUUAUUUUUAACUUAAAAUUCUAAAAGUUGCCCCUAAAAUGUGGGAAGGUAAUUGAAUUUUUGUCAGUAUAUGCUAUAAUGCUAUUAUCAUUGCUUAUUAGAUUUGCGAGUUGUGUGUUUUUGCCUUUGGAUUGUUUGACUUAACACAAUUAUGCCACAUGAGAAUUAGGACAAGUUUGUUCCUUCUAUGCUGAUAUGUAUAAAUUUCAUUAUUUUUUCUUAUCUUCUUCCAUUAGCUAGGCUUUUCAAGAUGAUCUAGAGUGGGAAUGGAUAAAAGACACACUAGGUUUUCUUUAUUAAAUAUAAUGGUACCUGUA